GCAGGGGAAACGUUCAGUCUGCCUGGGUUAUAUAUAGGUAGAUUCAUUGAUUUCGGAUCAGAAAAUUAUCAAUGUUCAUGGAUUCCCAGAACACAGCAGGGAGAAGUUUAUGUUAUGAACAUUUCUUAGCAACAAACCCUGUAAGAAGAAGGACGUCUGUUCUACAGCUUGU